UGAGGUGUAGCGGAAUCAGAAGAAAUACUAU
rnacentral:piRNA from 1 species